GCCCGCGUAGCUCAGGGGAUAGAGCGUCGGUUUCCUAAACCGUGCGUCGCAGGUUCGAAUCCUGCCGUGGGCA
rnacentral:tRNA from 1 species